rnacentral:lncRNA from 1 species
UAAAUGGUAAUUAAAUAUAAAAACAGAUGUAAAUAACUUGCAAAAAAAUACAAGAAUAAAAGAGCAAUAAUGAACUAUACCAUAAUGUCAAAAGGGGAUCAAAAUAGCAAUUUCAGUUAAGGAAAUAUAUGGAUUGGUUUAGAUCCGAAGGGAUCUUUAUGAUAAAGGAAAGAGAAAAGAGAGAAAAAAGGUUGUGAUAACCCUAAAGAGGAGAGAAAGAAAAAGAUAAGAGGUGAACAAAAUAAAUUUAGGGCUGAAGCUAAAGGAGAGAUGAGAUAAUUCUAGAUGUAUUGUGCAUGGAGACGUGGGCUUAAAUAUUCAUUAAUUAAUAUAAUUAAUAUUCAUUAAUAAUUUGAGGGGCACG